AGGAGGAGGAGGAGGAGGAGGUUGAAGAGGCCAUGCACGGACCCAUAUUUCUGAGGAUAUUAGAGCAACUUUGGUGGACCAUGUCAUCAACCAUGGCCUGACUAUGAGGAAAGCUGGGCAGAGAGUCCACCCACAUCUAAGCCGCUUCACAGUGGCAUCUGUAAUAAGAACAUUCCGACUAGAAAACAGAAUGACUCGAAGACCUUCUGGGGGAGGACGCCAACGCCUGUUCACACAACAGCAGGAACUUGCCGUUGUGGACCUAGUGAGGGCAGACAAUGCCAUCCGUCUCCACCAGCUACGAAAAAAAAUACUUGCAGACAGGCAAGUGUUCAACAACAUAAACCAUGUGAGCAUCACCACCAUCAGACGCAUCUUGGGAAAACACAGCAUCACCAUGAAGCAGCUCUACAGAGUCCCAUUUGAGAGGAACAGUGACAGGGUCAAAGGACUUUGAGCUGAAUAUGUACGGAGAAUCUUGGCCAUGGAUGGAGCUGCACAGCCUCAUGAACUCAUUUUCCUUGAUGAAGCUGGAUUCGACCUGAGCAAAACAAGACGACGGGGUUGUAAUAUAAUUGGCCAAAGGGCAAU